UUACGCAUUUCCAGAGACAUAUAUGUAACUUAUAUAUGUAACACCUGCCCAUUAUAUCAAUUCAUUCAUUUCAUUCAUUUGACAUAUAAAGUCUUAAUUCAGAGACAAACAUUUAACAUUAAUCCAUCAUACAAAAGUUUAUAAAAUUUUCAAUUACAACAAAUAUAUAAGUUCAAAUAAUUUCUCCAGAGAAUAAGUUUAAGUCCUAGAUGCACUACUCUCUAAAAACAUUACUAGUAAUUUCUUUCAUAGCGAUCCUGUUGUGGUUGAUCUUGUUGUGGUUGAUCCUCGUGUGGUUGAUCCUCGUGUGGUUGAUCCUCCUGUGCUUGUUGUGGUUGCUGAACAUUAGGUUGUGAAAGAUUUUGGGAUUGAAAAAAUUCUUGUGCAGCUGCUGCUGCAGAAGGCGGAAGGUGUUGCAAUAUGGCGCCAAUAAAACCUUCAAAUUUAGANNNNN
rnacentral:lncRNA from 1 species